GCUGGGAUUAUAGACAUGAGCCACCAUGCCCAGAUAAUGUUACGUGAUUUUAACCACAUUAAAAAAAAGGUGAUACAACUUCCACUUUGCUUGCUGUAAAACCUGCACUUGAGUCCUGUGCCACCAUGAAAGUGGUCCAACCACCCUGAGGCUGCCAUGCUAGGAGGAAGCCCAACUCACCUGUGCAGAGACACCACAGGAAGCAGCCCUGAGAUUACAGGAAUAAAGAGAUGUAUGGCCAGCCUCCAGCUUCUCCAGCUAUCACCUGAGUACAAUCUCAUUAGAAACCCUGAACCAGAACGACCCAGCUAAGUUCUUUCCAAAUUCCUGAUCUACAGAAACCUUGAGAGACAGUAAAAGUAAUUGUUCCUUGAUGCUACUAAAUUUUGUCAUAAUUUGUUCCAUGGCAAUAGCUAACUGGACACCUUGUCUCCAUCUCUCAGGUCAAUUCUGACCACAGGGAGAAAGGAUUUAAGUAGCUCUAGCCUAUCACUGUGCAGUGGCUGAUGGUCUGGCCCUGUAGAUGCAAAGCUCCUUGAGAAAAGAGCUCUAUGUCAUCACUGUAGUAGUUGUGGCCUCAUCCUCCAGGAGUGCUUUCUAUAUUUCAUUCUACAAAUAUUUACUAAGUGCCUAAUAGACUUCAUUGAGCUCUAGCACAGUCCACAGUCUCUAGAAUAUAUUAAGCAUAUAAGAUAUGCUCCUUGCUUUCAAGGAAUGUAAUUUAAUGGAAGAAACAAACAUAUAAGCAAAUAAUUCUUCCUAAUUAAUUCUUUUCUUUCGUUGAAACACAAUUAACACCGGGGCAUAAUUUAGCCUGGAGGAGAGUCAGACAGGGACCUCUGAGACAGUGACAUGUAAGUUACGACUAGAAGGAUGAGAAGGCAUUAGUAAUAUGCUUGAUAAAUGUGUUUACCUUGGCUUGCUCUAAGCUGCGGGUGUGGUCCAGGUCUGCUCCACAGGUCUCUCAUCCUGUUUGAACUAGUGCUACCAGGGCAGACAUUUCUCAUGGUGCUGGCGGAAGUCCAAGAGGGCAAGCCCAACUGCGCAAACAUAUCACAGGCCUCUGCCUAUCAUGCCUACUAACAUCCCAUAGGACCAAGGCAGGCACGUGGCAGAGCCCAUCAUCAACGGGGUAGUCGAGGACACUCCUCUCAUAGAGAUUGUGCUGACAACCACCAGGCUGUUCUCCCAGGCACUUCUAGCUGGGUCAUGCCCCCUUGCCUGCUCCCUGCAGCCCUCCACGUUGGCCCAUGCCAAUGCCUUGUUUGAGUCUCCAUCCUUGUCUGUCUGCUCCAUUUCACAACACUUAACUCUCUGUGCCAGCCGUAUCCAGCUACGACAAGAAAAUCUGAUGAAAAUGUAAGGUGCUGGCAAAAAUCAUUUUAUGGAAAUACAUUAAAUCAUCUAAGCUAUUACGGUAUUGAAGAAUUGAACUGGAACAGGAUCAUAAAAGUCACUUAUAGGGAUGCCAUGAAAAUUAGCUAGUCAGUGUUCAUGGUUUGAACAUAAAAUGAAAAUUGUUGUUGAUUUACAUAUAAUGUCUUUGUUGGGUCUUCCAAAAGCCUCCUCAGCUAGUAUAUAACAGAAAUGGGGAAACCAAAUGUUAAGUUUAGGACCCAACCAUCUUGCCUUUAGUUUUGUUUGUUUUUGUUUUGCCAGUGGUGGUAAAGAUAGCAACCCUCCUCUCAGAAGAGAACUGGCUCUGGACCUAGACAUCAUGAAGAACUGCAGUGUGGAUUGCAAAACACCAUCGCAUUCAUAAGUCAUGGCUCAUUAGAUUUUUGGUGAAAAACUUCAAGGGGCAUCUGUUUUCUCUCCUCUGUUCUUGCCCCACCCCUCAUCACCAGGAGAGACUGUUUUAUAGUAAAUUAUGGCCAGUUCUCCAGGCUGACUAUUCAGGGCCUGCUUGACUUGGCAACCACUUUCCUCUUGCCAAUGGGCAUUCCUUCAUUUCACAGUUUCUUAGCCCUAGCUGCUGAGAGUAGAGAAGUGGAAAUGAAGAGGUGGGACUCAAGCCAGUUCAUUAUGCAUCUUGUUGGUGGUGCUAGUAAGGGCUUGGUGGGGAAAGGAGACUGGAACUUUCCCCAGGCAAGGGAGGAGGGCUCCCUUGGCUGCCGUUCAACCCCGCAUCCUAGUGUAGGCGGGAAACCUCCUUCCCCUCAAGCCUGUCUUAGCAAGGCCAAUUGCGAAGGGCUUUUUCGUGGGCUUUGGCUGUGUUCAGAGUCAGAUGACAUUGUGGUGUAAUGAUAAUGGUCCUAAUCACAAGAGGAUGUUCUCAGUGAGUGGGCACCAGGCACCAUGCAAAGUGAAUUAUUUCACUCAAUCCCCACAAAGACUCUAGAGUUGGGAACUAUUAUGGCCCUCCCUUUAAGAGGAAGGGGACGAACUUGCCCAAGGUCAUGCCUCAGAGCAGCAGUAGAAACUGUGGAGAAGGAGCAAGCUGUUUGUUCUCCUGUCAUCUCCCUGGCCCACCCCAUGGACACACCUUCCUGUUCACAGACCUCUUCCUCUUCUAGAGGCACUGAAGCAUGUGUGGAUGUCUCUGUCAUACUCUCCUUCACCUUGGUGGAGGGAUUCACCAGAGCUCCUGUCCAGCCCACUCCCUACCUGCUUGUGUGUGUGAUUUCCAUGUGUGCAUUGUGGGAGCUGCCUACACAGCAGAGCCUCUGCCCAGCCUCGGGUCCUCUUCCCAGUUUUCAGGCAACUAAAGGUCCACGGGCGGUUGGUCACACUGACUUUGGAUCCAGACUGCCUGGGUUCUAAUCCUGCUUCUAUCACUUAUCAACUCUGUGACCUUGGGAAGUCACUUAACUUCUCUACGCCUCAGUUACUUGAGGCUAACAAUUGUGCUUACUGCCUAGAGCUGCUGUCGGGGUCCAGUGAGAUCAUGCGUGUACAGCGCCAUCAGUCACAUGGUAAGUGCUCAGAAAACAUGAGCUAUUAUUAUGUCCUACUACAUGUUGGUUACUGCCCUGGAACUAGAGGAUCAUAGAAAAGCCUGGGCUUGGAGAAAUUUAGGGGUCUUCAACAACUCUGCACUGUUCUGGGUUCGGCUGCACCAUCAAUUUUCCGGCACAUUACAGAUUAAGUAGGCUUUGGUGCACUGACCUAAGAGCCUCAUCACCAUUUGUAUUAUAUAAAAUGUACUCUGUGUUCCAAUCAGCUGACUUUCAAAAGAACCUUUGGACAAGUUACUGAUAGAGCUGAGUAGACUGGAGACAGAACAGAAGAGGUGCUCAUUUCCUAUACCAGGGAUGAGGUUAGAAAGAGUCCCUGCUUACACUGAGAAGGGGCUUCUUAGCCCAUUGUCAAUACCAUAAUAGUGGGUGCCACAUGGGUUUAAGGAACAUGAAGGAAGGGAUAUCAGUUCCUGGAAUAGCACCCACUGGGCAGGAACACCAUACUGUGCUUGAGUUGUUUGCUCAGCUGUAUUUCAGAGGCUGUACUCUACCUUGGUUACAGAAAGGCUAAGUCUCUGCUCCUAUCCAUUUUAAACACUGGCCAUUGGCCAAGUUAAGUGGUAUAAUAGUGCACUGGGGAGUCCUCUGUAGAUACUGAGAGCAAGUCUUUUGGAAUUAGGGAGGCCUGGGUCAAAGCCCAGGCUCUACCACUCUACCAGGCUAUGUGAUUUAAGAGCCUUCACUUCCGCUUUUGUAAAACACAGAUAAGAGUCGUACCCAACUCUCAGGUUGUUAAAAUGAGAUAAUGAAUGUAAAUCAUUUUAAGCACAGUGUCUGAUAUGCAGCAAGUACUUAAGUUACUGCAGCUUUUAUUCUUUCACUUUUUGCCUCAGGUUGCAAGGUCUCUGCUGAUAGGACUUUUGGGAGAGAGAAACUGGGGAACGGACUGGGGAAGACAGGCAAAGGAAUCCCUGCUCAGCCACCCUGCCCAUUACUGUAGUCCCUGUGAUCAGUGAUGUGAAGCUACCACAAAUAUAGCGAAUGACUGAAAAUAGAAGGUGAUCUUUCAACUGCAGCCAGGUGGUUUUUAAUAUAGACACAUGACUGAUAAGAGCUUAACAAGUUUCUGGGUUUAUUACCAAACUCAGAUCAUUGUUUUUGCAUUUUGCAUUGGAAUGUAUGCACCAUUGGUGGAUAUGUGUUCUCCAAAUUAGGGAAAUAUAGAUAUGACCAGUGAUCUCUCCAAUUCUGAAGUAGUGAACAGAUAGUUGUGCUGUGUGUCAGUAAACUCUAUAGUAUAGCAUUGUCACAGUAAUAAAGAAGUCACUAUUCCAGCAAAAUAAUCCAAACCCAGAAAGUUAAUCCAACCCAUUUAAUAAUAUGCACCCUAGUUGUUGUGCUGUAUGGCAGUGAAACAAAAUUGAUAAACUAUUUACAAAUAUGACCAUAUUUUCCUUAGUUCCUCCAUUGAACAGUCAUAUUAUCAGCCAUUCUCUUUGCUGGUGGUUCAGUGUGUUCAUGGUCAGUAUCACUGUUGACACAAUUCCCCCAUCCAAACCAUGCCUUCUGCUACCUGCUGCUCUUCUUCUUUUCCCUCCAGGGCAUUCUUUUUCCCCAGGCCCCAUAGAUCCUUUAGUCUCAGCAGCCCACCUAGCUCAGCUAUCUGGGUGUUGGGGAGCUCAAGUUUGCAGAAAAUGGUCUUAAAAUUAGCUAGAGUGGGCAUCAUGCUGGGAGUCAAAGGAAAAGUGGGAAUGGGCCAUGAAGGGAGGUCUAGAGUGCUGGCUUCCUGUGCCUGACAGUCUUGGGGUAAAGGAAUGAUGCAUUAGUAUCAAGAGAAAAAAGAAAAGGGAGAUGUAACUCAGGAAAUCUAUUUUCUCUAGAGACUGAGGAGCCUUGAAAUGAGCUCAGCAGAUUUACGCUUAAUGUCUCUAUGUAAACUUUGGUUUUCUCAUCUGCAGAGGAAGGACAAUCUCUACCUCAUAGCAUUGUUGCAAGAAUGAAAUUAGAGAAUGUGUAAAUCACCCCACACAGUGACUGGCAUGUGGUAAAUGCCAAUGAUUGGCGUCUAUUUUUUAAAAUAAUGUGCUCUUGUCCUGCCGAAUAGGGUAUAUAAACUCCUCAGUGGAAAAACUGAGACACUGGCUAGAAAGAAACAAUAAAAUUAUAUCACUUUCUUACCUUGAUAAAAGAAAGAUACGUAGAACAUAUUCCCUUACAGCUGAAUUUCAAAAUAAACUUCCAAUCCAUGGGCUCUUUUCCCUGUUCCUGGAAAAAUUACAUCCUGAGCAUGCUCACGUGCUUACCAAAUUACUCAUUAAUGAAUGCUCUAUUUAUUGCAUAGAGUCAGUUAAAUGAUAUUACGUUUUAGUUUAAUUUGAUAGCUUGGAGUAAUUUUGGGGGGCCUGUCAUUACCCUCUUUCAUUGUUUCUGCAGGUGAGUCAGCUUUGAGGUGAGAGACAGGUGGCUUCUCUGCUAUAUGUAAACAAGUGACUCUCAAACAUGUGCAUCAGAAUCACCUGGAGAGCUUAUUGAACGACAGGAUGUCAGAGUCCACCCCUGACAGAUUCUGGGGCCUGCAUUUUGAGAAGUUCUGACUUAAACCAACACUGAUUUCUCUGCACUUUCAGCUGUGGCAGUGAUGGGACUGGCAGCUCCCUGCUUGGCUUGACGACCUUUGUAGGUUUCUUUAGUUGGUUAAGCAGCAGUUUAUAGCUACUUUAUGUUAAGAGCAAUACUUUUUCUGCCCCAAGGAAAGUUACUAACCUGGGAAGAGUGCAGAAAAUAAUGGGCCAUUGACCAUAUUUAGGCGGCACACUCCAAAAAUAGGUGUCUGUGUUCCACACUGAUUAAGAGCUUGGGCUUUGGAGUUGGGAAGGCAAGCAAUGAGACUUCUUUGCCAUUUCUCUAGCUGUGCGGCUGUCUAAAUUUUGUUUUCUUGUCUGUAGAAUGGGGAAAAUAUACUUUCUUGACAGGUUUCAAGAAGGUAAAGCACGUAAAGUGCUCAAUAAGUGUUAGCAGCUUUUUCCAAGAGGAUGUGAAAGCCCAAUGAUGCCUAAGACUGUGAGUGCCACUGUUCAUAUAUACUCAUUAGAAUCCACUAGAACGUCUGAGCACAAAGUUCGUCCUUUUGAGGUCUAAGUCAGCCCAGGUAGAGAGGGAUUUCUAAAGAAUUUCUCACAAAGUGUUAUUCAGCCUUUUCUAGAAAGUUCAGACUGAAGAGCUUUAUACUCUAAAAUAUAAAGAAAACAACCCCAUCAACGAGCUGCCAGUAAAACUGUGCAGGCUGUUCAAGUUAAUUCACAGUUAAUUAAAACAUGAACAACUUUGGCUUGUUUAGAACAUGGUAAUGCAAGAGCUGGAUGGAUCUUAGAGAUCAUCUGGUUCAAUCCUUCUAUUUUACAGAUACAAAAAUCUGUGGGGCUGAGAAAUUAAGUGAAUAAUUUGCCUGAAGGUACACAACCACAAAUUUAAUUUCUACUGGACUUGCUGUGUAAAUGCUCUCAGAAAGAAUGGCUCAUGGACGAUUCUAAAACCACAGUCAUUUCAGUCUUCUGUGACAUGUAAUUGAUUUACAUUCAAACAGCCUGGGUAGAAGGUAAAUUCAUUUAGUUUCCUAGGGUUAUUAUAAAACAAAUUUAUCUUGAGGCAUUCAUCAGGAAGUUACAUGAAAUGAAGCUGGUCAUUUUAUUGAGUGUAUGAUAGAAAUUGUUUUAUAGUCACACAAUGCAAUUGGAAGCAUAUGCUUUGAAAAACUUCGGGUGAAUAUGAUCAUGGUGAUAUUCUAUGAUGUGGCAAUAGUUGUGGCAAUAAUGGGGCUGGCAGCUCCAUUAUUGAAGCUUCAAUUGUCCCAUUUUUCCAUGUGUAGAAGCAGACCCUGACUGUUUUCUGAGAAAAAUCUUGACCCUUUCUCCAAGUACUGUUUUUUUUUUUUCUUUUUGCAGAGGUGCAGUGACUUUCUAUAUAGAUUUCAGUUACUUUUUGGUGAAAAGAAUUUAAACUCAUUUUCUACAUGAUUGGUUAAAGUAUAAGGAUUUGUACUCCAUAUUCUUGAGAUCUUAGCCUCCAGCCUUCAGCUGCCAAACGUCUAUGAAAAGCUUUGUUAUGAGAAAUAUAUAUGAAACUUUGCCCGAAAAGUGUGUAGUUCAUUCAUUACUUUAGAAAUUCUAAUAGUGACAAUAAUAAUAGUUAGAAAUUGUUAAGUAUUUACUAUAUGCCAGUUACUGAGUCCAGCCCUUAUGUGCAUUAUUUCUUUUAAUCCUCGCAACUGGUGUUUCACCAACUUUGCAUGCAUCAAAUCACAAGAGGGCUUGUUAAAACACAAAUUGCUUUGCCCCAUCCUUAGGGUUUCUGAUUCAGUAGCUGCCUGAGAGUGCAUGUCUAAUAAAUUUCUAGGUGAUGCUGAUGCUGCUGGUCUGAGAAGUACUGUUUGCUACAAACCCAGGAGGUAAGCAUUUUGAUCUGUAUUUUGCAGAUGAAGAAACAGGUUAAGGUUGUAUCACUUACUGAACACACAGCUAAUAAGGUGGUAGAGUUGAGAUUUGAAAAUUUGCUUCUUUGAUUCCAAAGUCUAUAGUCAAUUUCUGUGCUAGGUGGUUUUGCAAUAAAACAUUCUGGGCAGAAUAGUAAUAGUAACAUUUUAUAGCUUAGGAAUAGAGUAGGACUCUAUUACUCCUAACACUGGGCUCCAAAUAUAUUAAAGCAUAUAGAUGUCAUGAGAUAGUACUAAUCAAUGCCAGAGUGUGGGAUAAAGUAACACAGCCCUUAAAAGGGACUUUAUCAUGAAGGUAGAAAUAGGCAGGUGAGCAGCUCCCUGACACCAAGGGGAGCUAUGGGACAAAGGGGAGCCUUGGUUCCGGGACUGCAAAGUGUCCAGCAGUGGAAUUUAUCUUCACCACACAAUCUGGUGAGGGCUUUCUCCUGGGAGAAUUGGCUCUGUGUGUGUAAAUUUAAAGAGCCCUUGCCCUUAAGAGAGCUGUGCUUUCUGGGAAGUCUGCAAUUGAGCGUUAAUAGGGAAGAAACGGCUCUCAUCAUGCCACAGAGCUCUGACUUUCUGUUUGAGGCAGCAGUGAGCCAAGCACUGUGGGCUAUAGGUAGCAUUGAAGAAGGGGGCGGGUUAGAAGUCAGCAAGAAGCACGUCUGGGUAACAUACUUGUCAUCGCGUGGUUGCCUAGGCAGUGGGCCCCUGUUGUAUCAGUGAGGAAAACUCUUGACAUGUAACUGAGGUAAGAUUUUGAAUCUUGAUGAGCAACCUUAUUGCCUCCAGUGAAACUAUAUGAAUUAAAACAGCAUUCCAUACCCACUUCUGUAGAAUGCUCUAUCAGAUGCCAGUGGUGACCUUCCAAUUUUACCAACUAAACCUGAUUCACUGGCAGUGACCGCAGAAAGUUUUUGAGGCAAUUAGGUUAGGAGUAUGAGCUGGGAUAGAAGGCCCUUCUUUACUAGCAGCUAGAAAGAAGAGGAUUGACUUGUGGAUGUGUCUCUGGAGAUUCUAAAACAUACGCAGGGGAGGGGAAUCCUUCACUUGCUGAUGAUCUGACAGGACAAGCGUCAGCGACAUUGUGUUUCCGGGCGUCAAUGUGAGUAAUUUUGUGCCUAUUUAUACUCUCAGUUUGAUGAAAACUUCAAUGCAGCAGCCAUAUAAGAUUUAAUCCAUGAAUCAGUGCCAGCACUCUGGCCUCUUAACUCUGCUUUGGUGUUGGUGUCUCAGUGCUCUCUUGAUGAGUACUUCUUUAUGAGUAGCUGUCUCCUGAGCAACCAGCGUGUUUCUAUAUGCGAACAGUCAAUCUGAAGCCGGAUCAUACAUCCUUCUUUGGUUCUCAGAAAUCUGGGUCAGAGUUGUCAUUCACAAAUAUCAAUUGAGCAAGAUCUUCUAUUAUACAUUUUCUCAUGCAAAUUUUUUGAAAGAAGGGAGAGGGAGAAUGUAUAGAAAUGGGAAAAAGGCAAGGUGGAAAAGAGGCAAGAAAAGGAGAAAGGAAGGCAAUUUAGCCCGUUUUACAGAAGACAUCUAUAUAGAAAAGCUCAACAAUGGAAAUAUCCCAAUCCAACCUUGAGGUGACUGACCCUAAAUCUGAAGUAUAGAUGUGGCCAGCAAAAGUCCAAGCUGUAACAAAUUAUUGUUUUGCAAAGUACGAGUCAGUGAUGAGCACUGUAGAAUUAACCAGAGCCAAUGAGGUGAUAACCAUGAUGAUAGAUUGUGGGGAUUACUCUCCAAGCAAAGUAGAUAUGUGCUUUCUGUAAUACUGAUGUCCGAAAGAGCCAAUGUUUCUUAGGGCAAAUACACAUAAUAGCACCAAAUCUGAAUCAUUGAUUUUUUUGUAAACACAACGCUGUAAGCAAGCUAUGGGCUUGCCAAAACUCAGCUUUAGGUGUGCUAGGAGUCAGGGGACACAAAAUCCUGUUCUGGAACUAAGUUGGCAAGUAAUUGUGAUCUAAGGCAAUGCAUGUCAUAGUUGUGUGUGUGUAUGCAAUUCUGCCUGCAGAAUCCAGAAUCUCUUCAUAGAGGAAUGAGUGUUUGAGUUUAUUCUUCACAAAUGAGGAUCUUCAGGUGAAGCUGAACACAAUAAACUAUAUAGAAAAGGCAAGCAGGUGUCAAAAUGCCUGGUUGUUGGGAACUGCCUACUAAGGUCAAGCUUCAGAGAACUUUACUAGAACAUGAGACUAAGCAGAAACAUGUGUCCCAAACCCUGGUGCAUCAGACUCUGAAGAGUUGUUUAUAAUGGUAGUCCAUCUCUUCUCACCUCCCAUUAGUUGUUCAUCUUGUUUCGUAAGCCUGAAGCCUCCUGUAUAGCCUUCCUUACUGACAACCCCCUUAAGUUACCUUACUACUAAUUCUUUAUUGGUUGAGUAGUUUGAGUUAUAAUCAACAGAUGUUAAUUUAAAUGUAUUAUGGUUCAUUCAAGUAUUAAAAUGGGUUGGUCCCUGGGGUUUUGCUAUGAUUACUGCAGUUCAACCCUGGUUCAUCCAUCUUUUUGAAUACUGCUAAGCAACUUUUAUAAUUCAGAUACUUCUUUAAAUAAAUUUCCCUCACUAUAGAUGAAUCAAUUCUGUGAGCUCCAGUCCUGGAGAUGCGACUGAGACUUAGCUAAUUAAUAAUACCGUUACUGAGCUGAGUCGCCUGUCCUGUGUGAGGCUCUCACGUAGAGGUACAGCCCCCGGAAGCACUAAGAUCAGCUGUGGGCCAAGGGUGGGGGAGUAUCAGAAGGGGCAGUUUGGCAAGGCUCACCACUUAAAAAGACUGAUUACCACUUUCGUAUACUGUUGUUAAGCAUGGUAAUGUUGAAAUCUUCCACUAUACAUCUUGUCUGAGAGUUUUAUCGGUUAGAUUACUUGAAUACCUGACUGGAAAAAAUGAGCCGGAUUCCCUAAGAAUGAGGAUUGUGUAGGUAUAAGGACAUACAAGACAAUGCCCAUUCACUGUGACAGCUUUCAAGGAAGAUUUUCUUUGAAAAUGGCAGUGAUAUUUACUCCAGAGGUUGACAAUAGCAACUGCUCUAACAUACUUAUCUAUAAAUCCUAGUAAGCUAUAUUAUCAUCCACUAGGUGCCAGCCACGAGUGGUUAAUCCUUUCAAUGCUACAAGGUAGGUUUAUAUUAUUCUCAUUCUAGAGAUGAGUAAGCAGGCUCAAAGUGGGAGAGGUUUAAUGACUCACAAAAGGCCAGGCAAACAAGUGGGAGAGCCACUGUUCUGCCUACCUUCCAAAAUCCUACUUUCCCCACUAGGGCUACAUUCCCUAAAUCCAUAAACAGUAAACCUGCAUUAAAGAUACUUCAAGAUUCAAGUCUACUUAAGAUUGUUCUUCUACUGUCUCUGCAAGCAUCAGAAAGGUAAUAAUGCUUCCAGGAGACUGAAUAAAAGCAAGAGGCAACUAGUACUACAAACAUUUCCAAAGUAACACAAAAUAUAUGAUAAAGAGAGAAGAACAGUAAAUAUCA